GGCUACGGCUGCUUGGCGCAUUGGUACACCCGAUCUCGGAAGUUAAGCAACGCGUAGUCCGGACAGUGCUUGGAUGGGGGACCAACCAAGGACGUCCGGAUUGCUGUAGCCU
rnacentral:rRNA from 1 species